rnacentral:rRNA from 1 species
AGCGUAGGCGGGUUAUUAAGUCAGUUGUGAAAGUUUGCGGCUCAACCGUAAAAUUGCAGUUGAUACUGGCGACCUUGAGUACAACAGAGGUAGGCGGAAUUCGUGGUGUAGCGGUGAAAUGCUUAGAUAUCACGAAGAACUCCGAUUGCGAAGGCAGCUUACUGGAUUGUAACUGACGCUGAUGCUCGAAAGUGUGGGUAUCAAACA